AGCAAAUGGACUGGCUCGUCCAUAGUGGGAUUGAGUGGACAUGUGAUGGAGAGACCUUUCACUCAAAAGUCUAUUGUUUCACUGCUGUGGCUGACGCUCCAGCCAGGGCUCUGAUGCAGAACACAGUCCAGUAUAAUGGAUACUUUUGGUGUGGCUGGUGUUUGCACCCUGGCAAGCGCAUUGAAGGAACAGUGAAGUACCCCGUAAGCGCUGA
rnacentral:lncRNA from 1 species